rfam:Myotis brandtii contig202715, whole genome shotgun sequence.
GGUGGUUCUUGGGUGACGCACCCCAGAAUCAGGCUCCCACUUCUCUGAUUCCGAGUGCAUUACGUGAGAACUGCA